rnacentral:rRNA from 1 species
UGAAGGGGGCUGCUCCUAGUACGAGAGGACCGGAGUGGACGAACCUCUGGUGUUCGGGUUGUGUCGCCAGACGCAUUGCCCGGUAGCUAAGUUCGGAAUCGAUAACCGCUGAAAGCAUCUAAGCGGGAAGCGAGCCCUGAGAUGAGUCUUCCCUGAUACUUUAAGUAUCCUAAAGGGUUGUCGGAGACUACGACGUUGAUAGGUCAGGUGUGUAAGUGCUGUGAGGCAUUGAGCUAACUGAUACUAAUUGCCCGUGAGGCUUAACCAUACAACACCCAAGGGGUUU